AUGCUGCCUUGCCUCGCCCUGCUUCUCCUGAUGGAGCUGCCCGUGUGCACUGUGGCAGGUGAUGGUGGAGAGGAACAGACACUCAGCACUGAAGCAGAGACCUGGGAAGGCGCUGGCCCCAGCAUUCAGCUCCAGCUGCAGGAAGUGAAGACGGGCAAGCCAAGCCAGUUCUUUGGGCUGAUGGGGAAGCGAGUGGGAGGUGAGUG
rnacentral:sRNA from 1 species